rnacentral:rRNA from 1 species
GACGAACGCUGGCGGCGUGCUUAACACAUGCAAGUCGAACGGAAAGGCCCUGCUUUUGUGGGGUGCUCGAGUGGCGAACGGGUGAGUAACACGUGAGUAACCUGCCCUUGACUUUGGGAUAACUUCAGGAAACUGGGGCUAAUACCGGAUAGGAGCUCCUGCUGCAUGGUGGGGGUUGGAAAGUUUCGGCGGUUGGGGAUGGACUCGCGGCUUAUCAGCUUGUUGGUGGGGUAGUGGCUUACCAAGGCUUUGACGGGUAGCCGGCCUGAGAGGGUGACCGGCCACAUUGGGAUGGAGAUAGGGCCCGGACCCCUAGGGGAGCAAGGAGGGGGGAAUUUUGCACAAGGGGCGGAGGCCGGAUGCAGCACCCCCGCGUGGGGGAUGACGGCUUUGGGUUUUUAACCCGUUUGCGCCUGGGAAGAAGGGUGAGGGAGGUAAAGGGGUAAAGAGCCCCCGGGAAACUAGGCG